GAUGAACGCUGGCGGCGUGCUUAAUACAUGCAAGUCGAACGGACGGACGCGAAGCUUGCUUCUCUGAUGUGUGCCGCGGACGUGUGUGUAACACGUGGAAAACCCACCUAACAUUGUGGGAAAACUUGGAGAAACGGGAUCAAAUCCGAGAUAAUAUUCUGCAGCGUAUGGUUCGAAAGUGAAAUACGGCCGUGCUGUCAGUACUAGAUGGUUCCGCGCUUGAUUAGCUAGUUGGUAAGGUAACGGCUUACCAAGGCAACGAUGCAUAGCCGAGCUGAGAGGGUGAUCGGCCACACUGGAACUGAGACACGGUCCAGACUCCUACGGGAGGCAGCAGUAGGGAAUCUUCCGCAAUGGGCGAAAGCCUGACGGAGCAACGCCGCGUGAGUGAUGAAGGUCUUCGGAUCGUAAAACUCUGUUAUUAGGGAAGAACAUAUGUGUAAGUAACUGUGCACAUCUUGACGGUACCUAAUCAGAAAGCCACGGCUAACUACGUG
rnacentral:rRNA from 1 species